rnacentral:lncRNA from 7 species
AAAACUCAUUAGGCACUUUCCCAGCAAGCAGAAGAGGAUUUCCUUUCUCGCGGGCUGUAGAGGAGCACUCUGACUUGCCAUGACCAUUUGCCUUCGCUCACCACAACCAGAAGAUUUGCCCCCCCACUCUCCCAGCUGUUUCUGGAGCAUAGCAGGAAACAAAUUCUAUAUAAUAACUAGAAAAUGUAGGCCGAGACCAUCCUCUGCACAGGAAAUUUCACUCAGAGGGUUGGACACCCAGUGAGGUCCUAUUCACAGACUUCUCUUUGUAUUUUUCUGCCUGGAACCAAAGAAGGGGAUUCAUGCCAAAACCCUGCAGGAUAUGGAAAUCUAUCGCCUGUUCUGUGCUUCUACAUGUCUUUCAAAGUGGCUUCUGAUUUGGGGAGCCCUAAAUUAAGAACCAUGGGCUUGGGGUUUUUAGAUUUUUUUUAAUAAGUACUCAAAACCUGCAGCUUCAAUUCAAAUAGCAGUCAGAAACAUUCAGUACCUUUGAAAAACCCCUGACAUUUCAUUCCUCAUGCUGAGGACCCAGAACAGCAAAAAUUUAGACCAAAAUGAUUUCUCCAGGCUAGUCAGUAUUAGAGAAUGGUGCAGAAGUCAGAAAACCCUUGCUUCUGGUUCUCAGUCCACAUACACUGCUGAGGCUUGGAAAGGCUAUAAGGUUAUAAAUCUUUCAGUGAAAAACAAUUCCUGCUUCAUGCCACCAACAUCGCCUGAAGACAUCUGCAUAGGGCAUCUCUAGAGGAGGCUCCCAUUACUAAACCUAUGGAGAAGAAUAAGGAGAAACUUGCAUCCAGUUUGAAAGACAUUAAUGAGCCUCUCUUGGAUACAAAAUAUUUGUUCAACACCCUUCUGGGCAAAGUAACACAGCUGAGUGGGAAGCUCUGGCAGAAUACCAUCACCAGUAAGUCUCAGAAAAGGAUCAACAUGUAGUUCUGCAAAGCAGACAGUUUUUCAGGUCCAGUUUGCAGUUCUGGUACUUUGACAUGUCUACGUUGCUCUGAAUAUACAGUUUUCAGCACCUAUUUCUCUAUUAGUUCCAGUGGAGUUUCAUAUGCUAUGGCAGCAUUCCAGAUUCUUCACUGCUUUCUUUUCUCAUUUUGUUUUCUAUUCUCAAUAACAUUAAUAAAAC